GCUAGGCCUGGUGGCUCAUGCCUGUAAUCCUAACACUUUGGGAGGCUGAGACAGGAGGAUUGCUUGAGCCCAGGAGUUCAAGACCAGCCAGGGCAACAGAGGGAUACCUUGUCUACAAAAAAUUUAAAAAUUUAGCCAGGCAUGGUGGUGUGUGCCUGUAGUUUCAGUUACUCAGGAGGCUGAGGUGGGAGGAUUGUUUGAUCCUGGGAGGUUGAGGCUGCAGCGAGCCAUGAUUAUGCCAUGGUACUGCAGCCUGGGCAACAGAGCCAGACCUUGUCUUU
rnacentral:sRNA from 1 species